rnacentral:sRNA from 2 species
GAAAUAGAAAGCUAGGGUUCCGAUCCGGCUCAAUACCAGACAAGGUGGUGAGCUGCGAUGACUGGUCCAAGAGCGUUCGACCUCUCCCUCUCAGUGCAGGGUAUGGGUUACACGGCGGGAUAAAAGCCCGGGAGAC